CCGGCGCACGGGUGAGUAACACGUAUCCAACCUGCCGCCUACUCUUGGACAGCCUUCUGAAAGGAAGAUUAAUACAAGAUGGCAUCAUGAGUCCGCAUGUUCACAUGAUUAAAGGUAUUCCGGUAGACGAUGGGGAUGCGUUCCAUUAGAUAGUAGGCGGGGUAACGGCCCACCUAGUCUUCGAUGGAUAGGGGUUCUGAGAGGAAGGUCCCCCACAUUGGAACUGAGACACGGUCCAAACUCCUACGGGAGGCAGCAUG
rnacentral:rRNA from 1 species